rnacentral:rRNA from 1 species
GCUUACGGCCAUACCACCCUGAACACGCCCGAUCUCGUCCGAUCUCGGAAGCUAAGCAGGGUCGGGCCUGGUUAGUACUUGGAUGGGAGACCGCCUGGGAAUACCAGGUGCUGUACGCU